AUGUCAAAGGAAUUGUAUGGAGAGCGCUGAGACACAGCUCUGGGAAGGGUACCAAAACAUUUCUGCAGCGUUGAAGGUCCAAGAAUCACAGUGGCCUCAAUCCCCUCUUAUAUGUAAAGUCCCCACAUCUUAUUGUUUGCCUGUGACUUACCGUUAUUGAUCACCAGCCAAGAGAGUCAAAAUGUUGGUUUUUACGGAACGUUUUCACCAAACAGCAACCAUCUUACAAGAUUUUUCUUUCCGGCUGACAAAGAUUGCUUUCUAGAAGGACUGGAUCCACUUUUAGAUCUAGUGGAGGAUGCAGAGGAUUUGGAUGAUGACUAUUGGGAGCCAACAGGGGGAAGGAAGAUGUCCUGGAAACCUGUCACCAUGGGUGACAUGCUCAACUACAUUUCCUUGGUGAUUUACAUGGGACUGGUAAAGGUAUCAAGACUAGUUGACAACUGGAGCAAGUCCCCACUCUAUCGGUUUGAGUUCCUCACCUCCAUCAUGAGUGAAAACCGAUUCUUGGCCAUCAACCGUACUCUUCACAUGAGUGACAGACAAAAGGAUCAGGAGAAUGACCAGGAGGGGACUGCAGGGUAUGAUCGUCUUGCAAGAGUCAAGCCCCUUUAUCAUGACAUGGUGGAGGCAUGCAAAACGUACUUCCAGCCUGCUCAAAAUCUAUCUAUAGAUGAGUACAUGGAUGCCUCAAAGGCUCCAAUAGGCUUGAACCAAUAUAUGAAAAAUAAGCCAACCAAAUGCUCUUUGUGCUAGCCGAUUCUGCCUACACGUGGCAGUAGAUUAAAAAGUUCCACGUCUGCUCCUCCCCUCCGGCGUACAACGUCACCAGAAUACUGACCACCGGUCCUGUGAAUCAUUCAUUCACAACUGGACUCCAUGACCUUCAUCAUUUCCUCCCCUUUGUGUCACUCUCCCAUGUUCACUCACCAGUUGGUAUUGCUAUUGUGUAUCGGCGAACCACCUUGUGUUAGUGUCGUGUUCUUGGUUUUGUUGUAUUAUUAAAACAUUUCACCUGCACCUGCUUCCGACUCACCACCCCAUC